rnacentral:lncRNA from 1 species
AGUUUUCCUUUGCCUGAAUCAUAAUCAAUUAACGGAUAAGAUCUUACACAGUUUGUUUCUUGUUCUGUAUCCUAUUCCAAGUUGGUCUGUACUGCUUUUGUUGGAGAAGACAUGAAGAUGCAGUACUACUAUGGAAAUGUCUAACUUUUUGCCAAUAAGAUUGUAGUUCUCAUAUGAUUCUCUUGCUGCUAUUGAGUGAUCCUUCAUAUUGUGGCUGUAUGUGUUCUCUGGUUUAUAAAGGUCAUAGUGAUUAUUUUUGUGGAGUCCCCCUUGUUAGUUUAUUUUUUCAGGUUACAUCCUCAACUAAGAUUUGGUAAGUAGCCAUAUCCUAUCUUCUCGGCAAAUACUCGACCGAUUCUUUUUGCCAUUCACCUGAGAAAGGCGCAUUAAUACUAACCUCUUGCUAUGAUCUUGAAUUUUUGCAGUGCAAGUGGCGGACAUUUAGCUAGUGGUACAUGCCUUGCCGAGCUCCCCGACGGAUAGUGCCUGACUUGCAAGCACGUCGGAGGCUUUGUCCACGGUCUUGCAGUGGACGAUAUUAUUUGGUCGGCAAUGAUAAAGUUUUCCCACAAUGGCUGCCAGAGCGAGUCAUCUAGCACGAGCUUGACGAUCACCACCGUGCUUCUACACUUCUGUAGCAACAUGAUUAGUUUUACGUGUGGAUUCUACCUGUAGCAAGUUUUUCUAUUAUGAUGUUGUUUUGCUUGUAAAGAUUGGAUUUUUGGAUGUCUUGCACCGUCGUAAAUCAAUAUGCAAACCCUG